rnacentral:tRNA from 3 species
GAGAGAGGCUCGCAGCCACAAAGACUGCUAAUCUUUGCCCCCCUAGUUGAACUCCAGGGCUCACUCG